GCUGAGGGGGGCGGGGUGGAGCGUUGAAGGAUGGCGGCCGCGAUGGCGAGCGCUGCGGAGCGGGCAGUGUUGGAAGAAGAGUUUAAAUGGCUUUUGCAAGAGGAGGUUCAUGGUGUCCUGAGACAGCUGCAGGAUAUUCUGAAGGAGGCUUCUCACAGAUUCGCUUUGCCUGUUGGUGGCACAGAAGGACCAGUCAAACAGGAGAAUUUUAUUCUGGACACUUCAAGCGCAGACCAGGUGAAAGGAGUGUUGAUGCUGCAGGGAGAUGCUCUCUGCCAAGCUGAUAUUAACUUGAAAAUGCCCAGAAAUAACCAGCUCCUGCACUUCACAUUCCGCGAAGACAAGCAGUGGAAAUUGCAGCAGAUCCAGGAUGCUAGGAACCACGUUAACCAAGCAAUUUACCUGCUCACAAACCGAGAUGUAAACUACCAGUUCAAAACCGGCUCUGAGGUCCUCAAGCUGAUGGAUGCGGUGAUGUUACAGCUGACACGAGCUCGGAACCGGCUCACUACUCCAGCUACCUUAACCCUACCAGAAAUUGCCUCCAGCGGGCUUACGAAAAUGUUCACCCCUGCUCUGCCCUCGGACAUCCUUGUGAAUUUUUAUAUCAACCUAAAUAAGCUGUGUUUGACUGUCUACCAGCUCCAUGCACUGCAGCCCAAUUCCACCAAGAACUUCAGACCUACUGGAGGGUCUAUUCUGCAUAACCCUGGAGCCAUGUUAUCUCUGUGUUUUCCAGCUACUGGAACUACAGGCCGUACUAAUCCUUCCAGGAGAGUUUGCCCCUAUGUGAUCCCGAACUCUACUGCCCUGCCCUCUUAGGAGGAAACCCCUGUGUACCAACCUGAGAGGAGUGCCAUGUCGCAUUGGCCUGUGUCCUGCCAUACACCAGGCACAGCACCUGGCCUGGGACCUCUGAAAUGCUGCUCGCAGAGCAUGCUCUAUGCACCAAGCCCCCCACAGGGGUGAAGGUGGGAGGCCAGCGACAGAGAGCCCUGAGAGACGCCAACAGAGAGGGACCUGGGAGAGGAGAAGAGACAAAAGGAGAGGCUAGCGGAAAAGCCAGGCAGGGAGAGGCAACCAAACUACAAGGGGGGAACAAUCAACAGUCUGCAGAGCGAGGGAGGGAGAUGCGGACAGAGUCUGGGUCCCGGGCUUCACCCUGAAGAGGUCGCUGUGGCCCUUGGGGAGCAGUCUGAGGGGGAUGGAGAGAGCGGAAGCCAGACUGGAGGGUCCCAGAGGGAUGUAUCACCAGCGCCAGCAUCACUUAAGAAACCCAUUAAAGGGAAGGAAAACAGCUUGGGUGGGAGCUGCAACCUGGCUCUCCUCUUACUUAACGGGAAGGAAAGGGAGCCACAGAGCUGACCCCCCUCAUUGUCCUGGGCACAGGAGGAAGGAAACAGUGAUGUAAGGCUGGGAUGGCGCAAUGACUGGCUCUUAUGCAUCCUCUGCUCCCAUUAACAGGAACUGCCCCACUGAGCAGCUCUCUGCCGCUCCCCCCAGGUGCUCCUGAUGCCCUGACUUGCAGACUCCCUGAGGCCCGCACAGGCAGGAGCUCCCCAGGAGAACAGCUGAUCAGACUGGAGAGGCACUGGAGCCGAGUGGACCCGGCCUGCAGUCAAAUAGGUGCAGGACAGGCCGAGGCAGCUGAUGGGUGUGGGCCGAGCUUUGGGGGUGCGACAGAGAGCUAAUCACAUGAGGCACAUGGAAGUGCGGGGUCUCUGUCACACCAGGCAACCAGGCUGCUUCUUCAGGGGCCAAAAUAUGGGUUUAGCAGUGUAACUGCCAGACAGAAGGGGUGGUCCUGAGUCUCCAGCGGACUCAGCUGAAUAAUGAAAACAUAGAUUCACCCAGAGAUGCAACUAAACAGUGGGCUUCUCCGUGCUGCUGCUUGCAGAAGUGUGUUAUUUGUGGGUGGCCAGGUGGGAAAAUGUUUCUGAAUUGCAGAGAUUUCAUCGUAUUUUAAAAUUCUUACAGGAAAAAAAAUAAUCCCAGAAAUAUGUUGCUGUAUUUGUCACCUAAAGUAGGGUGCUGGGUGGGCCAGUGGUUAGGUCACUCCUUUGGACUAUAGGAGACCAAGGGUCAAUUCCUGCUUUGCCACAGACUCUGAGACAGGGUGACCUUGGCCAAGUCCCUUGGUUGCUCUGUGUCUCAGUUUCCCCCUCUGUCAGGGCCAACGCUUCCAUUGAGGCGAACUAGGCAAUCGCCUAGGGCACCAGGAUUUUCGGGGGGCGGCAUUUUGCUGGGGGGGGGCGGCAGGCGGCUCCGGU